rnacentral:rRNA from 1 species
CCUACGGGUGGCAGCAGUGAGGAAUAUUGGUCAAUGGGCGCGAGCCUGAACCAGCCAAGUAGCGUGAAGGAUGACUGCCCUACGGGUUGUAAACUUCUUUUAUAAAGGAAUAAAGUGAGGCACGUGUGCCUUUUUGUAUGUACUUUAUGAAUAAGGAUCGGCUAAGUCCGCGCCAGCAGCCGCGGUAAUACGGAGGAUACGAGCGUUAUCCGGAUUUAUUGGGUUUAAAGGGAGCGUAGGUGGGUUGUUAAGUAAGUUGUGAAAGUUUGCGGCUCAACCGUAAAAUUGCAAUUGAUACUGGCAGCCGUGAGUGCAGUUGAGGUAGGCGGAAUUCGUGGUGUAGCGGUGAAAUGCUUAGAUAUCACGAAGAACUCCAAUUGCGAAGGCAGCCUACUAAACUGCCACUGACAUUGAUGCUCGAAAGUGUGGGUAGCAAACAGGAUUAGAUACCCGAGUAGUC